GGGUGAUCCUAAGCUGCCAAGAAAAGCAUCGACGCGAGGUUCCAGCCGCCCGUACCCCAAACCGACUCAGGUGGUCAGGUAGAGAAUACCAAGGAGAUCGAGAGAAUCGUGGUUAAGGAACUCGGCAAAAUGCCCCCGUAACUUCGGGAGAAGGGGGGCCGGAUUGGUGACGGGAUUUACUCCCUGAGCCUUGAAGGCCGCAGAGACCAGUGGGAAGCGACUGUUUACUAAAAACACAGGUCCGUGCUAAGUCGCAAGACGAUGUAUACGGACUGACGCCUGCCCGGUGCUGGAAGGUUAAGAGGAGCGGUUAGCGUAAGCGAAGCUGCGAAUUUAAGCCCCAGUAAACGGCGGUGGUAACUAUAACCAUCCUAAGGUAGCGAAAUUCCUUGUCGGGUAAGUUCCGACCUGCACGAAUGGCGUAACGACUUCCCAGCUGUCUCAACCGCGAACUCGGCGAAAUUGCACUACGAGUAAAGAUGCUCGUUACGCGCAGCAGGACGGAAAGACCCCGUGACCUUUACUACAGUUUGGUAUUGGUGUUCGGUGUGGCUUGUGUAGGAUAGGUGGGAGACUUUGAAGCGGGCACGCCAGUGUUCGUGGAGUCAUUGUUGAAAUACCACUCUGGUCACUCUGGAUGUCUAACUUAGAACCGUAAUCCGGUUCAGGGACAGUGCCUGAUGGGUAGUUUAACUGGGGCGGUUGCCUCCCAAAAAGUAACGGAGGCGCCCAAAGGUUCCCUCAACCUGGUUGGCAAUCAGGUGUCGAGUGUAAGUGCACAAGGGAGCUUGACUGUGAGAGUGACGGCUCGAGCAGGGACGAAAGUCGGGACUAGUGAUCCGGCAGUGGCUUGUGGAAGCGCUGUCGCUCAACGGAUAAAAGGUACCUCGGGGAUAACAGGCUGAUCUUGCCCAAGAGUCCAUAUCGACGGCAUGGUUUGGCACCUCGAUGUCGGCUCGUCGCAUCCUGGGGCUGGA
rnacentral:rRNA from 1 species